rnacentral:rRNA from 1 species
UCGAGAAUAAUUCACAAUGGGGGCAACCCUGAUGGUGCAACGCCGCGUGGAGGAUGACGGUCUUCGGAUUGUAAACUCCUGUCAUCCGGGAGUAAGACCUGGUCGUUAAUAGCGAACAGGGUUGAUAGUACCGGAAGAGGAAGGGACGGCUAACUUCGUGCCAGCAGCCGCGGUAAUACGAAGGUCCCGAGCGUUGUUCGGAAUCACUGGGCGUAAAGGGAGCGUAGGCGGCGUGGUAAGUCAGAUGUGAAAUCCCGGGGCUCAACCCCGGAACUGCAUCCGAGACUGCCGUGCUAGAGGAUUGGAGAGGUAGCUGGAAUUCUUGGUGUAGCAGUGAAAUGCGUGGAUAUCAAGAGGAACACUCGUGGCGAAAGCGAGCUACUGGACAACUCCUGACGCUGAGGCUCGAAGGCCAGGGUAGCGAAAG